UAGGGAAUAUUGGGCAAUGGAGGCAACUCUGACCCAGCCACGCCGCGUGCAGGAAGACGGCAUUCUGUGUUGUAAACUGCUUUUAUAUAGGAAGAAAAAGCCUUGCGAGGUCAUGUGACGGUACUAUAUGAAUAAGCACCGGCUAACUCCGUGCCAGCAGCCGCGGUAAUACGGAGGGUGCGAGCGUUGUCCGGAAUUAUUGGGUUUAAAGGGUGCGUAGGCGGUUUAUUAAGUCAGAGCUGAAAAGCUACAGCUCAACUGUAGUCGUGGCUUUGAUACUGGUAGACUAGAGAAUGGAUGAGGUAGGCGGAAUUUAUGAUGUAGCGGUGAAAUGCAUAGAUAUCAUAAAGAACACCAAUUGCGAAGGCAGCUUACUGGGCCAUUACUGACGCUGAGGCACGAAAGUGUGGGUAGCGAACAGG
rnacentral:rRNA from 1 species